rnacentral:rRNA from 1 species
CUACGGUGAAUACGUUCCCGGACCUUGUACACACCGCCCGUCAAGCCAUGGAAGCUGGGUGUACCUAAAGUCGAUAACCGUAAGGAGUCGCCUAGGGUAAAACUAGUAACUGGGGCUAAGUCGUAACAAGGUACCC